AUAAUGGGUCAGCGACUUAUAUUCUGUAGCAAGGUUAACCGAAUAGGGGAGCCGAAGGGAAACCGAGUCUUAACUGGGCGUUAAGUUGCAGGGUAUAGACCCGAAACCCGGUGAUCUAGCCAUGGGCAGGUUGAAGGUUGGGUAACACUAACUGGAGGACCGAACCGACUAAUGUUGAAAAAUUAGCGGAUGACUUGUGGCUGGGGGUGAAAGGCCAAUCAAACCGGGAGAUAGCUGGUUCUCCCCGAAAGCUAUUUAGGUAGCGCCUCGUGAAUUCAUCUCCGGGGGUAGAGCACUGUUUCGGCAAGGGGGUCAUCCCGACUUACCAACCCGAUGCAAACUGCGAAUACCGGAGAAUGUUAUCACGGGAGACACACGGCGGGUGCUAACGUCCGUCGUGAAGAGGGAAACAACCCAGACCGCCAGCUAAGGUCCCAAAGUCAUGGUUAAGUGGGAAACGAUGUGGGAAGGCCCAGACAGCCAGGAUGUUGGCUUAGAAGCAGCCAUCAUUUAAAGAAAGCGUAAUAGCUCACUGGUCGAGUCGGCCUGCGCGGAAGAUGUAACGGGGCUAAACCAUGCACCGAAGCUGCGGCAGCGACGCUUAUGCGUUGUUGGGUAGGGGAGCGUUCUGUAAGCCUGCGAAGGUGUGCUGUGAGGCAUGCUGGAGGUAUCAGAAGUGCGAAUGCUGACAUAAGUAACGAUAAAGCGGGUGAAAAGCCCGCUCGCCGGAAGACCAAGGGUUCCUGUCCAACGUUAAUCGGGGCAGGGUGAGUCGACCCCUAAGGCGAGGCCGAAAGGCGUAGUCGAUGGGAAACAGGUUAAUAUUCCUGUACUUGGU
rnacentral:rRNA from 1 species